UACGGAGGGCGCGAGCGUUAAUCGGAAUUACUGGGCGUAAAGCGCGCAUAGGCUGUUGUGUAAGUUGGGGGUGAAAUCCCACGGCUCAACCGUGGAACAGCCCUUGAUACUGCGCGACUUGAAUCCGGGAGAGGGUGGCGGAAUUCCAGGUGUAGGAGUGAAAUCCGUAGAUAUCUGGAGGAACAUCAGUGGCGAAGGCGGCCACCUGGACCGGUAUUGACGCUGAGGCGCGAAAGCGUGGGGAGCAAACAGG
rnacentral:rRNA from 1 species